GAUGAACGCUGGCGGCGUGCCUAAUACAUGCAAGUCGAACGGUAAGGCCCUUCGGGGUACACGAGUGGCGAACGGGUGAGUAACACGUGGGUGAUCUGCCCUGCACUUCGGGAUAAGCCUGGGAAACUGGGUCUAAUACCGGAUAGGACCACUGCCUGCAUGGGUGGUGGUGGAAAGCUUUUGCGGUGUGGGAUGGGCCCGCGGCCUAUCAGCUUGUUGGUGGGGUGAUGGCCUACCAAGGCGACGACGGGUAGCCGGCCUGAGAGGGUGACCGGCCACACUGGGACUGGGAUACGGCCCAGACUCCUACGGGAGGCAGCCGUGGGUAAUAUUGCACAAUGGGCGCAAGCCGGAUGCAGCGACGCCGCGUGAGGGAUGACGGCCUUCGGGUUGUAAACCUCUUUCAGCACCGACGAAGCGCAAGUGACGGUAGGUGCAGAAGAAGGACCGGCCAACUACGUGCCAGCCGCCGCCGUAA
rnacentral:rRNA from 1 species